GCACCAGACUCCUACGGGAGGCAGCAGUGGGGAAUAUUGCACAAUGGGGGAAACCCUGAUGUAGCGACGCCGCGUGAGUGAAGAAGUAUUUCGGUAUGUAAAGCUCUAUCAGCAGGGAAGAAGAAAGACGGUACCUGACUAAGAAGCCCCGGCUAACUACGUGCCAGCAGCCGCGGAAAUACGUAGGGGGCAAGCGUUAUCCGGAUUUACUGGGUGUAAAGGGAGCGUAGACGGCUGUGCAAGUCUGAAGUGAAAGCCCGGGGCUCAACCCUGGGACUGCUUUGGAAACUGUGGAGCUAGAGUGCAGGAGGGGUAAGGGGAAUUCCUAGUGUAGCGGUGAAAUGCGUAGAUAUUAGGAGGAACACCAGUGGCGAAGGCGGCUUACUGGACAGUAACUGACGUUGAGGCUCGAAAGCGUGGGGAGCAAACAGGAUUAGAUACCCGAGUAC
rnacentral:rRNA from 1 species